GUUUAAUUAGUAUAUAAUUUAAGUACAUUUAACUUCCAAUUAAAAAGAUUAAUUUUAAAUUAAACA
rnacentral:tRNA from 1 species